rnacentral:antisense_RNA from 1 species
GUCUGGGAACGGCUGGUUUCGCGGUCAGACGCCGAGGGCCCUCGAAGUCCCUAGCAACGGCUGCGGAGAGAGAUUCCACCUAGGUCCGUGCAGGUUACAAAUGGCAACCAGAACAGGGACUCCAAGCACGCCCAACUAGCAGCAUCCAAUCAUGGGACUUCAAAGACGUGAAUGAAGAAGGUCUGCUGGAGCAGAGGAACUGAAACUGACUAGGCGAAAGGGGACCCGGGGAAGAGUCUGCCGGCAGCAGAUAUAAGUCUGUAAAAUCGGAUGGACCGCCAAUCGGAGAAUGAGAGCUGCCCAGCCUGGUCUUACAUUCUUUCAAUUAAUACAUAAACAGAAAGGGGGAUAUGCAGGGAGCCGAAGGCCCAUGGGACGUGACCAACUCAGCAUUCCACUGGAGGCUAUAUGAUCAAACAGCAAACUGUUUAUCAUGAAUACAGGAUGUGGGCAAACUCAGGACUGCUCCUGCCAACAUAAGGUUUGCUGGAGGCAAUCACUCCCUGGCACGGAGGUUAUCUACUGCGACAUCUAGAGAAUGCAGUCCUGCAAGCCUACUCUGAACUGAGCAGCUGACCCCUUCUUCCACCCCCCCCCACCCUCCUAUCUCUUUUGCCUAAUAAAUACGGAGGGCUGUGUAAAGCUCAGGGCCCUUGUCCACUAGAGGCAAGGUGCUCCCUGACCCCUUCUCCCAAAUAUA